rnacentral:rRNA from 1 species
UACGGAGGGGGCUAGCGUUGUUCGGAAUUACUGGGCGUAAAGCGCGCGCAGGCGGCGGUGCUGGCCCGGCGUGAAAGCCCCCGGCUCAACCGGGGAGGGUCGUCGGGGACCGCACCGCUUGAGGGCGGUAGGGGCUGGUGGAAUGCCUGGUGUAGUGGUGAAAUGCGUAGAGAUCAGGCGGAACACCCGUGGCGAAGGCGGCCAGCUGGGCCGUCCCUGACGCUGAGGCGCGAAGGCGUGGGGAGCGAACGGG